rnacentral:rRNA from 1 species
CCUACGGGUGGCAGCAGUGAGGAAUAUUGGUCAAUGGGCGAGAGCCUGAACCAGCCAAGUCGCGUGAGGGAGUACUGCACUAUGGGUUGUAAACCUCUUUUGUCGGGGAGCAAAAGCCGGACGUGUCCGGCUGUGGGAGUUCCCGGAGAAAAAGCCACGGCUAACUCCGUGCCAGCAGCCGCGGUAAUACGGAGGAUGCGAGCGUUAUCCGGAUUUAUUGGGUUUAAAGGGUGCGCAGGCGGAUUUGUAAGUCAGGGGUAAAAGCGUGGGGCUCAACCCCAUCCAGCCGUUGAAACUGGGGGUCUAGAGCGGGAGAGAGGUAUGCGGAAUGCGUGGUGUAGCGGUGAAAUGCAUAGAUAUCACGCAGAACCCCGAUUGCGAAGGCAGCAUACCGGUGCACAACUGACGCUCAGGCACGAAAGCGUGGGUAUCGAACAGGAUUAGAUACCCCUGUAGUC